rnacentral:tRNA from 1 species
AGUGCUUUAAGUUAGUUAAACUGUCAACCUUCAAAUUUGGAAUCAAGAGUGUUCUCUUAAGCAUUA